AGGCUAAAGUAAUAUCCGGUAUUUCUCCAACUAAAGUUGCCAGUGUAAUAUCAGAGCAUGAUAUAUUAUUUCUAUGUAAUAUUUCUUCAGUUCUGUAUUGAAGACUUGAUCUUUCUUUUAGAAUGUUGACCGUUCCACAAUAGAUGCUAUCAGAGGGUGGCUUUGAAUCAUGCCUGGACAGCACUGACAUAUUGAUAAAAAGAGAAAUAAGUUGCAUUUAUGGGCCUCAUGUUGGCUUGUUAAAAGACAACAUCCCUGAAAAAGUACAACACACACUACCAGGCAUGAAGGGUGUUAACAAGUUUAUGGAACUGGCUAUGAAGAGAUGAAUUAAUGAUGAAAAAGGACAAUUCCAUUGGAAACUUUUUUAAAGUCACACUUUUUGGCGGGUUUGGUGGUAUUAAGAUGAAUUUUUAUCAUGUUUACCGACUUUUCAGUAAGAAAAGGUUAAAAUAAAUUAAUGAAAAAAAGCAGAAACAACUGUGUUUUAAGUCCAUCUUACAUAUAGGUUUAGAUACUUAGCUGGUGCAAUUAUGCGAGGACCAAACAACUGCUGGAAAAUCACUUAAUUUGUUUGGGAAUAAUUUAAAUAAAUUGAUUUAUCAACAAAUCCAUCCCAACAAAUUGAAAUGUUCAGCUCACCUGAGCAAGAAAAUAAUAUUUUCUUAAUAAAUGAUGUCAAUAUGCACAUAUAUGUGUUGGCCUUCUGUCCGUCAUGCAUCGUCCAUAGUGGCUAUGUUAAAAGCUUGUGAACACUAUUGGUCACAUUCUUGCCCAAUCAUGAUGAAACUUACUCAGAACUUUUGUUCUAAUGAUAUUUUGACAAAGUUGGAAAAUGGUUCCGGAUCUUCAAAAAUGACUCCUUUGGGAUGGAAGUUUUUCUUGCAUGUCCUUUGUGAAACAUUACAGGCUUAGAACCUCAUUGUUCCUUUAGGUCUUAUGUGAAUGAUGUAAGGCCUUUUUAUCUCCAAUUUUGUAUAUAGGUCAAUGAUGUAAAAUGGAAGCAAUUGUUGCAAUUUAAGUUGUGGAUAGUAUUGAGAAAAAGGGGAAAUCAGUAAAAUGUUAACGUUUUUCUAAACAUAAUUACAACAAAAACAAAAUAAUCUCAAUGAACCAUGAUUGGAUUAAAAUGUAAGGAUACAAACAAAAACUAUUGGUCAACAAGUAA